AAAAAAAAAGGGAAAAAAUAAAAGAGAGACAACAAGGAAAGAUGCAGGAAAUGGACCCGAUGUUCCGUUGUGUCUGUUGUGAUGCUUCAUGCUUGGCUAGGGGAGUUCUUUCAGUGCUGUUUGACUCCGAAUUGAAGGAACCUUGGUUGUUCAACCUACAUCAUCAGCUCACCGUCGAAUGUCUGCCCAGACCGAUGAGGACAGGAUUCUCUCACCGGCUGUCAUGGAGUUGAGAAGGAUGCUGCCAUGCUGUGAUGCUGGACACCGUUCCAUCUUUUUAUCACCCUUUGCCCUCCGGCACGGACACUUGAGACCUCAACAAUGCCUUAUAGGCUCAUACCUCCACCUGCACCAUGUAUUGUUGAGCAGAGCCGCUGGUUUGAGCUGAAGCUGUGCACAUUGGUUAAGACUAUGUUCAACAGCUUACCUAUAUGUUAACUAAAACAUUGUUUUGCAACUGUACUAUUAAGGAGGUGUUUAAAUACACUAGAAUUAAUAUUUAGCUGCUAAAAUUAGCCGAGAUAUCUAAAUAGUCUAGCUAAUAGCUACUUUUAGCAAAUUAGCUAAUAGUUAACUAACUAUUUGUUAGCUAGCUAAUUCCACUAGCAAAUUUUUAACUAACUAAUUAUUAUCUCUAGUGCAUCAAAACACCACCUAAGUUUGAAUAUGGGAAUAUGAACAGGCAAGAUGCUCGAGACAGUCUAACAAUAUUCGCAACAAACUUAUCUAGGGAGACCCGUCGUGUUGACCUGCUGACGAAGCUAAAGACGGUGAUGUAAGUACACUAGGCACUCAUAACAAGUUUGCUAACACAACUGAUUAGCUUAUUUUUAAGUUCGCAUUAGUGUGUAACCAUAUCAUAUCACCACAUGAGUAGGUGUGUAACCAUAACAAAUCAUAUCACCACAUCUUAAGUAAACUAGACACUCAUAACAAAUCAUAUCACCACAUGAGUAGGUGUGUAACAUAACCUAUCAUAUCAUCACAUCUUAAGAGAACCCUAAAUAUGCGCUGCGCCUGCUUCUCCUGACCAUCAUUCACUUGCUUCUCCUGACCAUCAUUCACUUGCUUCCCUUGACAACUGAUAGUAGCUGCAGCAUCUAAUACCAUGAAUGAGAGCUCAGCAGCGGCCAGUAGUUAUCUCCUCCUCACAUUGAUUAUUCAUCUGCUGCCGUUCGUCUCAGCCCAUGAUUUCCUGUCAGCCGGUUCGUCUCUCUCCGUAGAGCACAGCUCUGAUGUGCUCCACUCGCAAGAUGGCACUUUCACCUGCGGCUUCUACCGCAUCUCCCCCAACGCCUCCACCUUCUCCAUCUGGUUCUCCGGAUCAUCGGAAAGAACCGUCGUCUGGAGCGCCAACCCUCUCCACCCCGUGUACACCUGGGGAUCCAAAGUCGAGCUAGACGCCGACGGGAGCAUGGUUCUAAAGGACUACAAUGGCCAGAUCGUGUGGACCAACAACGCGAGCGUUUCGGACGCUGGGCAUGUUCAAGCUCGGCUGCUGGGCACCGGGAACCUCGCUGUGGAGGGAAGAGGUGGCGCCAUCCUGUGGCAAAGCUUUGAUUCUCCUACUGACACCUUGUUACCUACUCAGAGAAUCACUGCUUCCACAAAGCUGGUCUCUACUAACAGGUUACUUGUUCCUGGCCACUACAGCUUCCGUUUCGACGACCAGUACCUUCUUUCUCUGUUUGAUGACGAGAAAAACAUUUCUUUCAUCUACUGGCCAAAUCCGCGUAUGACUAUCUGGGCGAAGGGUAGAGUGCAGUUCAACAGCACCAUGUCUGGGGCUCUUGACACCUUGGGACAUUUCCUUGCAAGUGACAAUGCAACCUUUACAGCUGCUGACUGGGGCCCUGGUAUCAUGAGGCGGCUAACACUGGAUUACGAUGGCAACCUCAGAUUGUACAGUCUUAAUGUGGCAGACAGAACAUGGUCGGUCACAUGGAUGGCGUUUCCUCAGCUUUGCAAUGUACACGGUCUGUGUGGCGAAAACGGAAUUUGUGUGUAUACGCCUGUGCCUGCUUGUGCGUGUGCCCCUGGUUUUGAAGUCAUCGACCCAAGUGAGCGGAGCAAAGGCUGCAGACCAAAGACCAACAUCAGUUGUGAUGUGGAGAAGGUGGAUUUUGCUAAGCUACCCCACACUGAUUUCUUGGGGUAUGAUAUGACUGCCCAUCACUCCGUUUCUCUUGACUUUUGCAAGAAGGAGUGCCUGCAUGAUUGCAACUGCAAGGGUUUUGCAUACUGGGAAGGGAUUGGUGAUUGCUAUCCGAAGUCUGUUCUUGUUGGCGGUGUAACCCUGCAGAACUUUGCUAGUACUGGUACGAUGUACAUCAAGAUUCCUAAUGGAUUACAAGUGUUGGAUGCCUCAAUUCCGCAAUCACAACCUUUUGGUCCCAAGUAUAGUCCUGACUGUGGUACAACAAAUAGAUACUUCAUAGCAGAUUUUCUGGAUAAGCUUAAGAGAGAUCAUAGUGGAUCAAAGUAUCUGUACUUCUAUGGAUUCUUGUCAGCAAUAUUUCUGGCAGAGGUAGUGUUUGUUGGAUUAGGAUGGUUUAUUUUGAGGAGGGAAUACAGAGAACUGAGAGGAGUAUGGCCAGCUGAGCCUGGAUAUGAAAUGAUAGCCAAUCAUUUUCGCAGGUAUGCCUACAGAGAGUUGGUGACGGCGACCAGAAAGUUUAAGGACGAACUUGGAAGGGGUGCAUCAGGCAUUGUAUACAAAGGCGUCUUGGAAGACAAGGGGGCAGUAGCUGUGAAGAAAUUAGCAGAAAUAAACCAAAGUGAAGAAGAAUUCCGGCAUGAACUGAGUGUGAUUAGCAUGAUUAACCAUAUGAAUCUAGUGAGAGUUUGGGGAUACUGUUCCGACGGUCCACACAGGAUACUGGUUUCUGAAUGUUUUGAGAAUGGUUCGUUGGAUAAAAUCUUAUUUGGUAGCAAGGGUUCAGAAAUCUUGCUUGGAUGGAAGCAAAGGUUUGAUAUUGCGCUGGGGGUGGCUAGAGGAUUGGCCUAUCUUCACCACGAGUGUUCAGAGUGGGUCAUCCACUGCGACGUGAAGCCUGAAAACAUACUGCUGGAUGAGAACUUGGUGCCAAAGAUUGCAGACUUUGGCCUUGCAAAGCUCCUGAACAGAGGUCGAUCAAACCUAAACGUUUCAAAGAUCCAAGGAACUAGAGGUUACUUGGCGCCGGAAUGGGUUUCUAGCCUCCCGAUCACAGCAAAGGUUGAUGUCUACAGCUUUGGAGUGGUGCUACUGGAACUACUAAUAGGAGCACGUGUCUCAAACAUGGGAAAUGAUGAGGAUGUGGAAGCAGAGAUGGUCCUUGGAAGGGUGUCAAGGCUGGUCAAAGAAAAGCUGCAGUCGGAUGAUACUGAGCCGUCUUGGAUCGCCGACUUCAUUGACUCUAGACUGAACGGUGAUUUCAACAAUUUGCAGGCAAGAAUAAUGAUGAGGCUGUCCAUUUCAUGCCUGGAGGAAGAUAGAGACAGAAGACCAACCAUGGAAAAUGCAGUUCAGAUACUUGUUUUAACUGAAGAUGUCAGUGGCGCAAAUGUAAUGGUAAGAGCAACCUGAAAGUCUGCCUCCAUAUCGUUCUUUUGUACCGAGGGCCAUCAAAUAACCUGCAGAUAGAAGGAACAGAAGCGCUAAUUGUAACAUAUCUGCAAUAUCCAUGCAAAAUUUUCUUUCUAUUUUUUUUUCUUUUCAGAAAAAGUUUUCUUUGUAAUUUUGCGAGAUAAAUCUGCCGAAAAACACUGUUACUCAAGUAAAAUAUCAUGAUGAUUUAUUCAAUCAGAGUGCAGAAAACUUUUGCAGCUAACAAUUGUUGACAACCUACUAAUCUAAAACUACAACAACAGAUACCUUUCGUCCCAAGCAAGCUGGGGGUAGGCACAAGUAAUCGGUAGAUCGUAUUUGGCUAGAGUGAAAGUUUCAGGCAUCACAUAUGAGCAGACAAAGAUGUCAGGAGGCAGAGAGGGCAUAACACAUGCAUUAAACUGCUGGGGCUUGUCCUGGUUGCUGUGCUAUGCUGCUCGCCGGGAUCGGAAACAAUUGCCAGGGAACAAACCAGUCUUGUGUUAUGUGUCUCUGGCCAGGUGUAUAGUACAUUCUUUGCCACCAAUUUGGUUGGGAAGAUUACAAGGGCACAUCAAUCUAACAAGUAGUAGAGCCCUAAAUCUGCAAAGGGGGAAAUGUAACUGCUGGGAUUCAUACCUUUGUGGUCCAAGCGGGCUCUGGAUGGAGCCCCUGCAUCAAGCCGUUGACACCUGCUCCCGUGUCGGCCAGGCGCCAGCCCAGCGCCCCGCCGUCUAUACACAAUACGAAGCGGCGAUUGGACAGCGGGCAGCUGUGCCCGUACGACAGAACGACAAAGCGCGAGUAACAGCGGAAGCGGCGCCAGAUGGGCCUUCCGGCUCGCUA
rnacentral:lncRNA from 1 species